rnacentral:rRNA from 1 species
AAGAUGGCGACCGGCGCACGGGUGAGUAACACGUAUCCAACCUGCCGAUGACUCGGGGAUAGCCUUUCGAAAGAAAGAUUAAUACCCGAUGGCAUAAUAGAACCGCAUGGUUUGAUUAUUAAAGAAUUUCGGUUAUCGAUGGGGAUGCGUUCCAUUAGGCAGUUGGUGGGGUAACGGCCCACCAAACCUUCGAUGGAUAGGGGUUCUGAGAGGAAGGUCCCCCACAUUGGAACUGAGACACGGUCCAAACUCCUACGGGAGGCAGCAUG